rnacentral:rRNA from 1 species
UACGGGGGGAGCAAGCGUUGUUCGGAUUUACUGGGCGUAAAGGGCGCGUAGGCGGUCAGCACAAGUCAGUUGUGAAAUCUCCGGGCUUAACUCGGAAAGGUCAACUGAUACUGUGCGACUAGAGUGCGGAAGGGGCAACUGGAAUUCUCGUGGUAGCGGUGAAAUGCGUAGAUAGUCGGGGAGGAACACCAGCGGCGGAGGCGGCAGCUCUGGGACGGUACGUAGACGCUGAGGAGCGGAAGCGUAGGGAGCGAACAGG